CAUGCAGUCGACGGUAACAGGAAGCAGCUUGCUGCUUUGCUGACGAGUGGCGGACGGGUGAGUAAUGUCUGGGAAACUGCCCGAUGGAGGGGGAUAACUACUGGAAACGGUAGCUAAUACCGCAUAAUGUCGCAAGACCAAAGAGGGGGACCUUCGGGCCUCUUGCCAUCGGAUGUGCCCAGAUGGGAUUAGCUUGUUGGUGAGGUAACGGCUCACCAAGGCGACGAUCCCUAGCUGGUCUGAGAGGAUGACCAGCCACACUGGAACUGAGACACGGUCCAGACUCCUACGGGAGGCAGCAGUGGGGAAUAUUGCACAAUGGGCGCAAGCCUGAUGCAGCCAUGCCGCGUGUAUGAAGAAGGCCUUCGGGUUGUAAAGUACUUUCAGCGGGGAGGAAGGGGUUAAGGUUAAUAACCUUAGCCAUUGACGUUACCCGCAGAAGAAGCACCGGCUAACUCCGUGCCAGCAGCCGCGGUAAUACGGAGGGUGCAAGCGUUAAUCGGAAUUACUGGGCGUAAAGCGCACGCAGGCGGUCUGUCAAGUCGGAUGUGAAAUCCCCGGGCUCACCCUGGAAACUGCAUUCAAAACUGGCAGGUUUG
rnacentral:rRNA from 1 species